rnacentral:rRNA from 1 species
GAUGAACGCUGGCGGCGUGCCUAAUACAUGCAAGUCGAGCGAACAGACGAGGAGCUUGCUCCUCUGACGUUGGCGGCGGACGGGUGAGUAACACGUGGAUAACCUACCUAUAAGACUGGGAUAACUUCGGGAAACCGGAGCUAAUACCGGAUAAUAUAUUGAACCGCAUGGUUCAAUAGUGAAAGGCGGUUUUGCUGUCACUUAUAGAUGGAUCCGCGCCGCAUUAGCUAGUUGGUAAGGUAACGGCUUACCAAGGCAACGAUGCGUAGCCGACCUGAGAGGGUGAUCGGCCACACUGGAACUGAGACACGGUCCAGACUCCUACGGGAGGCAGCAGUAGGGAAUCUUCCGCAAUGGGCGAAAGCCUGACGGAGCAACGCCGCGUGAGUGAUGAAGGUCUUCGGAUCGUAAAACUCUGUUAUUAGGGAAGAACAAAUGUGUAAGUAACUAUGCACGUCUUGACGGUACCUAAUCAGAAAGCCACGGCUAACUACGUG